ACCGCAAACCGACACAGGUAGUCGAGGAGAGUAUCCUCAGGUGAGCGAGAGAACUCUCGUUAAGGAACUCGGCAAAAUGGCCCCGUAACUUCGGGAGAAGGGGCGCUGGUCGCAAGAUCAGCCGCAGUGAAAAGGCCCAAGCAACUGUUUAUCAAAAACACAGGCAUCUGCAAAAUCGUAAGAUGAAGUAUAGGUGCUGACACCUGCCCGGUGCUGGAAGGUUAAGAGGAGAGCUUAGCGCAAGCGAAGGUUUGAAUUGAAGCCCCAGUAAACGGCGGCCGUAACUAUAACGGUCCUAAGGUAGCGAAAUUCCUUGUCGGGUAAGUUCCGACCUGCACGAAAGGUGUAAUGAUUUGGGCACUGUCUCAACGAGAGACUCGGUGAAAUUAUAAUACCCGUGAAGAUGCGGGUUACCCGCGACAGGACGGAAAGACCCCAUGGAGCUUUACUGCAGUUUAAUAUUGGGUAUCUGUCAAGCAUGUACAGGAUAGGUAGGAGCCGGAGAAGAUAGGACGCCAGUCUUAUC
rnacentral:rRNA from 1 species